UCCCUGGUGGUCCAGUGGUUGAGACUCCACACUUCCAAUGUAGGGGGCACAGGUUCGACCCCUGGCCAGGGAA